UCAGAUUCGUCGAAGAGAUUUCGAAAACGUAGUUUCAAAUUCCGCUUCUUCGGAUAGAAUCUUAAUACAAUCUUGACCUGUUUCUCUGGUUUUUUUAAUUUUUCCACUAAUUAAAUCAUCUGGUUAAAUUGCGCGUGAUCCUUUUUCUCCGAUGUUCUCGAUUGAGAAAAGAAAAUGUUUAAAUUAAACGAAGAAAUGUUCCAUUGACGAUAAGAUAUUUCGUUCGAGAUAAAAUGUUUAUUUCUUCUGAAGGAACGUGGAGAUUCGUUUUGAAGAUAGGAAAGGAAAAUUCCAUUGCUAUGAAAUAACAUAUACGAAGAAAUGGAGAUGAAAAACAUUCGUGAAACGUUCCGUAAUCGCGAAAGAAACAACGUGAAAAUCACGUGAAGAAAGUAUUCACAACGUGUUAUACAACCUGUCGAUUUGGUAAUAAUAAUGCGAUAAAAAAGGAUUGACGUCAUAAUUUAAUAGUUGCGUCACUUGACGAUACCCUUUCAAAAUUUGAAUCGGUUAUCUGCCCGGAACGAUACGAAUAUACUGAAGAAAAAGUGGGAAACUUAAUGAAAAGAAACGAUUCGAUAUAAUAAACGUGAUCGGUAUAAUAGCACGCGGUAUAUUCCAGUAUCGUGUUUAUUUAAUUUCCUAGAAGAAUAAAAAAAGCGAGAAGAAGAUAUUUACAAAUCGCUAUAAUUCACCAAGAAAUUUAUUCAUUGUUUUAUUAUUUGUUUUAUGCUAAAAUUAUACCAAUGCCGUAUGUUAAUGUUCACCGUCGUAAAAUGAUAUUUCAGGAUGUAAUAGGCAAAUAAAUAUUUGCCUAUUAUCGCUCUCUAUUGUUUGUUAAUAUAUUUCAAUUAAUAAAAAUAGUCGCCACAAGAAAAAAAAUAGUUAAUGCCCUGUGCAUUAUGCAAUAAAUAAAAAUUGCAUAAGACAGUUUUUUUUUAUUAACUAAUAUCAUCUAUUUUAAUUUUCACACAGACGGCAUUUCUACCGUUAUUAUUCAUACGAGUGCAUCAACUUGUUUUCAAGAACGCAUAAUCGAGACCGUAUGCCCGGAUGUUGCCGUAUGACGUAGAUAUCCCGUUUAAAAAACUCAAUGAAAAGAAAUAAGCUUUCCAACGUGUACGCGUUCUAUAUCGAAAUUUCACGAACUACUUUCUCCUAAAUUUAUAACUGUCACACGGUGAACGUUAACGUUUUACAUACAUACAUAUAUAUAUAUAUAAAAUAUUAUUUUAUUUCGAUUUCAAUUUUAAUCUUUCUCACCGCUAUAAACGCCCGAUUAUUCGCAAACAUUCGCUGUCGAGAAUUGUUUUCUGCCUAUUCGCAAUAUAAUCUCGCGUAUGUUGAAGCACGGCCAAUCGUCAAACAGGAAAAGGAUUUUCGCAAUGUGCACCAAU